rnacentral:rRNA from 1 species
ACUCAAAGGAAUUGACGGGGGCCCGCACAAGCGGCGGAGCAUGUUGCUUAAUUCGACGCAACGCGAAGAACCUUACCAAGGUUUGACAUCACCCGGAAACGCUCAGAGAUGGGCGCCUCUUCGGACUGGGUGACAGGUGGUGCAUGGCUGUCGUCAGCUCGUGUCGUGAGAUGUUGGGUUAAGUCCCGCAACGAGCGCAACCCUUGUUCCAUGUUGCCAGCACGCUCCUUCGGGGGUGGUGGGGACUCAUGGGAGACUGCCGGGGUCAACUCGGAGGAAGGUGGGGAUGACGUCAAGUCAUCAUGCCCCUUAUGUCUUGGGCUGCAAACAUGCUACAAUGGCCGGUACAGAGGGCUGCUAAACCGUGAGGUGGAGCGAAUCCCUAAAAGCCGGUCUCAGUUCGGAUUGGGGUCUGCAACUCGACCCCAUGAAGUCGGAGUCGCUAGUAAUCGCAGAUCAGCAACGCUGCGGUGAAUACGUUCCCGGGCCUUGUACACACCGCCCGU